rnacentral:rRNA from 1 species
UCUUAGUGGCGGACGGGUGAGUAACGCGUGGGUAACCUGCCUUACACUGAGGGAUAACACUUAGAAAUAGGUGCUAAUACCGCAUAACAGAGGGAGUCGCAUGACUUCGUCUUAAAAACUCCGGUGGUGUAAGAUGGACCCGCGUCUGAUUAGCUGGUUGGCGGGGUAGCGGCCCACCAAGGCGACGAUCAGUAGCCGGCCUGAGAGGGUGAACGGCCACAUUGGGACUGAGACACGGCCCAAACUCCUACGGGAGGCAGCAG